rnacentral:rRNA from 1 species
UACGGAGGGGGCCAGCGUUGUUCGGAAUUAUUGGGCGUAAAGGGCGCGUAGGCGGGAUGGCAAGUCGGUCGUGAAAUCCCUCGGCUCAACUGAGGAUCGUCGAUCGAUACUGCCGUUCUUGAGGAUUGCAGAGGAGACUGGAAUUCCCGGUGUAGCGGUGAAAUGUGUAGAGAUCGGGAGGAACACCGGUGGCGAAGGCGGGUCUCUGGGCAAUUCCUGACGCUGAGGCGCGAAAGCGUGGGGAGCAAACGGG